rnacentral:tRNA from 1 species
AUUAAUGUAAUUUAAAUAAAAUAUUAUAUUUUCAAUAUAAAAAUAGUAAAACUACUCAUAAAUA